UGGGGAAUAUUGCACAAUGGGGGAAACCCUGAUGCAGCGACGCCGCGUGAGCGAAGAAGGUUUUCGAAUCGUAAAGCUCUGUCCUAUGAGAAGAUAAUGACGGUAUCAUAGGAGGAAGCCCCGGCUAAAUACGUGCCAGCAGCCGCGGUAAUACGUAUGGGGCGAGCGUUGUCCGGAAUCAUUGGGCGUAAAGGGUACGUAGGCGGAUAAGCAAGUUAGAAGUGAAAUCCUAUAGCUCAACUAUAGUAAGCUUUUAAAACUGCUCAUCUUGAGGUAUGGAAGGGAAAGUGGAAUUCCUAGUGUAGCGGUGAAAUGCGCAGAUAUUAGGAGGAAUACCGGUGGCGAAGGCGACUUUCUGGCCAUAAACUGACGCUGAGGUACGAAAGCGUGGGUAGCAAACAGG
rnacentral:rRNA from 1 species